rnacentral:rRNA from 1 species
GAUGAACGCUGGCGGCGUGCCUAAUACAUGCAAGUCGAACGAGGAGCCAUUGUAUUCGUACGGUGGUUUCCUAGUGGCGAACGGGUGAGUAACGCGUUGGUGACCUGCCCCGAAGAGAGGGAUAACAGCUCGAAAGGGCUGCUAAUACCUCAUGUGGACCCAGAGGUUAGAGGCUUUGUGUCUAAAGGAGCAAUCCGCUUCGGGAGGGGCCUGCGUCCCAUCAGCUAGUUGGUAGGGUAAUGGCCUACCAAGGCGACGACGGGUAGGGGACCUGAGAGGGUGACCCCCCACAUUGGCACUGAAACACGGGCCAGACACCUACGGGUGGCAGCAGUAGGGAAUAUUGCACAAUGGGCGAAAGCCUGAUGCAGCAACGCCGCGUGCACGAAGAAGGCCCUCGGGUCGUAAAGUGCUUUUCGGGGAGAUGAGAAAGGACAGUAUCCCCGGAAUAAGGAUCGGCUAACUACGUG